ACAGAAAUAACAUGGAAGAACUAGAGCAUAUACCGUCUUUGCCACUCAUCUAAAUUAAGCCUGUAGCUCACAAAACAGGGAACCUGGAAGAGAAGAAGGAAAAAAAAAUUUUCCUCCCCUCUAAUGACAUGAAGUAGACUGCGUUCUCAAGAACAACUGUAUGAUACCAUAAAGUGGUCAGCUUCCAACCAACACACCAGAACAAGAUCAUCCACAGGAGAUAACCAUCACUGCAAACAAUGUGAUAAAGAACAUUGAAUUUCUUGGCCAAGAAUUUCAAAAGACUCAACACACAGUGCUCCACAACUGACUGGCACUCAGUCUGAUCUUGGCACCCAGAGGGGAGACCUGUGCUGUUUGGAAGUGACUGCUGCAUAUGUAUUCCCCAAAAUUUCUCUGACCUCUACAUCAUAAAUAAGAACAUUUCAAGUUGCUAGGGGCACCUGGGUAGCUCGGU